rnacentral:rRNA from 1 species
AGCGGCCAGAGCAUGGGGGGCACGCCCGGUCCCGUUCCGAACCCGGAAGCUAAGCCCCAUCGCGCAGAGAGUACUGCGGGGUCGGCCCGUGGGAGGCCAGG